rnacentral:lncRNA from 1 species
GAGUUGUGAUUGAUGUUAUUUCAUUUCUAUUGAUCAAUGUGGAUUGAUUUUUAAAUUGAGCUAGAUUGGUAGUUUAAAACUAUAUUUGAAUCAAGUAUAUGAGUUGGGGAUUUUUUAGUCUUACUACAACCUUUUUUUUAUUUGGUUGUAUUAUGUUAUUUCAAAUGAUUUUUCUUUUAUAUUGUGCUUUGUUUUCAUAAUAUUUAUAUCAUAGUUGUUAGCCCUAAAAUUGAUUUUGGUGAUGUCAAAAGAUAUUUGAGUAUAAAUUAUGUUUACU